rnacentral:rRNA from 1 species
ACGGUAGUCCUUCGGGAUGAGAGUGGCGAACGGGUGAGUAAUAUAUCGGAACAUAUCCGUAAGUGGGGGAUAACGUAGAGAAAUUUACGCUAAUACCGCAUAUUCCCUGAGGGGGAAAGGAGGGGAUUCGCAAGAACCUUUCGCUGACGGAGUGGCCGAUAUCGGAUUAGCUAGUAGGUGAGGUAAAGGCUCACCUAGGCGACGAUCCGUAGCGGGUCUGAGAGGAUGAUCCGCCACACUGGAACUGAGACACGGUCCAGACUCCUACGGGAGGCAGCAGUGGGGAAUUUUGGACAAUGGGCGAAAGCCUGAUCCAGCCAUACCGCGUGAGUGAAGAAGGCCUUCGGGUUGUAAAGCUCUUUCAGCCGGAAAGAAAUCCUGCUUACUAAUACUAAGUGGGGAUGACGGUACCGGAAGAAGAAGCACCGGCUAACUACGUGCCAGCUGCCGCGGUAAUACGUAGGGUGCGAGCGUUAAUCGGAAUUACUGGGCGUAAAGCGUGCGCAGGCGGUUUUAUAAGCCAGAUGUGAAAUCCCCGGGCUUAACCUGGGAACUGCAUUUGGAACUGUAAGACUAGAGUGUAGCAGAGGGGGGUAGAAUUCCACGUGUAGCAGUGAAAUGCGUAGAGAUGUGGAGGAAUACCGAUGGCGAACGCAGCCCCUUGGGCUAACACUGACGCUCAUGCACGAAAGCGUGGGGAGCAAACAGGAUUAGAUACCCUGGUAGUCCACGCCCUAAAACGAUGUCAACUAGUGUUGGGGAAAGGAGACUUCUUUAGUACC